GACGUAGGGUCCGAGCGUUGUCCGGAAUUACUGGGCGUAAAGGGCUCGUAGGUGGCCAACUAAGUCAGACGUGAAAUCCCUCGGCUUAACCGGGGAACUGCGUCUGAUACUGGAUGGCUUGAGUGUGGGAGAGGGAUGCGGAAUUCCAGGUGUAGCGGUGAAAUGCGUAGAUAUCUGGAGGAACACCGGUGGCGAAGGCGGCAUCCUGGACCAUUACUGACACUGAAUAGCGAAAGCCAGGGGAGCAAACGGG
rnacentral:rRNA from 1 species